rnacentral:rRNA from 1 species
UACGAAGGGGGCUAGCGUUGCUCGGAAUCACUGGGCGUAAAGGGUGCGUAGGCGGGUCUUUAAGUCGGGGGUGAAAGCCCGGGGCUCAACCUCGGAAUUGCCUUCGAUACUGGACAUCUUGAGUACGGGAGAGGUGAGUGGAACUCCGAGUGUAGAGGUGAAAUUCGUAGAUAUUCGCAAGAACACCAGUGGCGAAGGCGGCUCACUGGCCCGGUACUGACGCUGAGGUGCGAAAGCGUGGGGAGCAAACAGG